rnacentral:rRNA from 1 species
UGGCGGCGUGGAUUAGGCAUGCAAGUCGAACGAGAACCGUAGCAAUACGGGGAAAGUGGCGAAAGGGGCAGUAAUGCAUGGGUAACCUACCCCGGGGACGUGGAUAGCUAUUCUAACGAGUAGGUAAUACACGGCGAUCUGGCCGGGCGGCAUCGCUUGACCAGGAAAUGAAUUUCGCCUCGGGAGGGGCUCAUGUCGUAUUAGCUUGUUGGUGGGGUAAUGGCCCACCAAGGCUGAGAUGCGUAGCGGGUGUGAGAGCACGACCCGCGCCACUGGCACUGAGACACUGGCCAGACACCUACGGGUGGCUGCAGUCGAGGAUCUUCGGCAAUGAGCGCAAGCUUGACCGAGCGACGCCGCGUGUGCGACGAAGGCCUUCGGGUUGUAAAGCACUGUCGAGGGGGAGGAAAGCCGAAAGGUCUGACCUAUCCCUGGAGGAAGCACGGGCUAAGUUCGUGCCAGCAGCCGCGGUAAGACGAACCGUGCAAACGUUGUUCGGAAUCACUGGGCUUAAAGGGCGCGUAGGCGGGUCAUCAAGUCAGGGGUGAAAUCCUCCAGCUUAACUGGAGAACAGCCUCUGAUACUGGUGGUCUCGAGUGAGGUAGGGGCAUGCGGAACUGAUGGUGGAGCGGUGAAAUGUGUUGAUAUCAUCAGGAACUCCGGUGGCGAAAGCGGCGUGCUGGACCUCUACUGACGCUGAGGCGCGAAAGCCAGGGGAGCGAACGGG